rnacentral:rRNA from 1 species
UGGCGAACGGGUGAGUAACGCGUGAGUAACCUGCCCUAGAGUGGGGGACAACAGUUGGAAACGACUGCUAAUACCGCAUAAGCCCACGGAUCCGCAUGGAUCUGCGGGAAAAGGAUUUAUUCGCUUUAGGAUGGACUCGCGUCCAAUUAGCUAGUUGGUGAGGUAACGGCCCACCAAGGCGACGAUUGGUAGCCGGACUGAGAGGUUGAACGGCCACAUUGGGACUGAGACACGGCCCAG